rnacentral:rRNA from 1 species
UACAGAGGUCCCAAGCGUUGUUCGGAUUCACUGGGCGUAAAGGGUGCGUAGGUGGUGAGGUAAGUCGGAUGUGAAAUCUCGGAGCUCAACUCCGAAACUGCAUUGGAAGCUACCUCGCUCGAGGGUUGGAGGGGGGACUGGAAUACUUGGUGUAGCAGUGAAAUGCGUAGAUAUCAAGUGGAACACCAGUGGCGAAGGCGAGUCCCUGGACAACUCCUGACACUGAGGCACGAAAGCUAGGGGAGCAAACAGG